CGAGAACGAAGAGGCGCAUUGCUCAGGUAGAUUAUUUUAGAUACUGGAAUCGGUGAUAAAUGAUUGAGGGGAUGCAAUGCCGAGGUUUGAUUGAGUAUCCAGAAAGCAAUCAAAUCGACUGCAAGGGCUGAAUCCCUUGGGUUGUCACCUUAACAGGUGGAGCGCUUCGCGGUUU
rfam:Gilliamella apicola SCGC AB-598-B02 SCG598B02_11520, whole genome shotgun sequence.